UACGUAGGGGGCAAGCGUUGUCCGGAAUCAUUGGGCGUAAAGAGCGUGUAGGCGGCCUUAUAAGUCGGCUGUGAAAGUCAAGGGCUCAACCCUUGAAUGCCGGCCGAUACUGUGAGGCUAGAGUCCGGAAGAGGCGAGUGGAAUUCCUGGUGUAGCGGUGAAAUGCGCAGAUAUCAGGAAGAACACCAAUGGCGAAGGCAGCUCUCUGGGACGGUACUGACGCUGAGACGCGAAAGCGUGGGGAGCGAACAGG
rnacentral:rRNA from 1 species